UCCAACCUUAAUGAUAUUCUGAUUCUAUGAUUCUACGACCAUGGCUUGUAACAUGUAGUAUUUCUCCUCUGUGGGACUUUAUCCCUCUUUAUCCUGAGCAUAGAGUCAUCCUCUCAGAUGGCCUGUGGGCUGUGUCCUGAUGCUGAGAGGGAUUUGGUCCUUAUUUCAGAAGGACCUCUGCCCUUGUUUCUGCACUGUGUGACUCCAACUAGCAUCAGCUUCCACUCACUUAUGAUGGACUGGGAGGGCUGGUGAGGAACAAGUGGGAUUCUGCAGGAGAAGGUGACUUUAUCAAGAUGAAAAUAAACCUGGAAGUGAUAAUUUGUGCCCUGGAACCUGCUAUGAUGUUGUCCAGUCCGCUGGUCAGCACCCACCACAGCCUGGAUGCUCUUGUCCUCAGCAAUUGCCAGACACCUUGAAUAUUCCUCCUUUUCAAGAAAGAAGUCGUUUAGAAGAUAUCUUCUGCACCUUCAUCAUGGAGGCACAUAACACUAGUCUGUCUUUUCCAUGCUGUGGCUGUCACAUCAUUUGGGGUCCAUGCAGGACAGUGCAGUGACAACUAGCUGUUGCUCAACAUCCAGCAGCAAGCCUUCCUGAGAUCAUGGCAUAGCAACAAGUUCAGGAAAGAGCCAAAUAUGUUGCUGUUUUAUGUCAGCAAGAGACACCAGCUGGACCUGAAAGCCAGAGUGCAGAACUGUUCUCACGAUCUCACUGGGCCAAGGACAGAAAUCGUGCUAGAAUCAUAGAAUCAACUAUUAAGGAGGACGUGUGCUGGAAACCUCUGGUACCCAUCACAUAUGGAAUGGUGUGCACUGGUGGCACUCUGAGUCACAGGAGAAAGUGUUGUCCAUAACUGUGCACAACAGAUGCUGCAUUGCUUCGCUGUGGUCCAUCAGAGAGGGAAAGGUGGACAAGUACCAAAAAACUGUGUGUGUACUCACUUCUAUUGAGAUGGUUUGUGCGUGCCUUCCAGAGGGCUGUCACUGGGUUCAUCACUCUUCAUCUCCCUCUGACACUGACACAGUCUGGGAUCACCCACCCAACAAAUCAAAGAGUUUGGUUUUCUUCUUCAAAAGGAUUUUUAGGCCCAAGGGGAAAAAAUAAAAACAAAAAAAGAUCAGUGACAA
ensembl:lncRNA